ACAAAAACAUUUCCUUCUUGUUAAGAAGGUAAGGCCUGCUCACUGAAAAUUAAAGAGCCGCAGUAUUUUGACUGUGCUAAGGUAGCAUAAUCAUUAGUCUUUUAAUUGGAGACUGGUAUGAAUGGCUAAACGAAAAAUGAACUUUUUUUGUUACUAAGAUUGAAUUUAACUUUUAAGUGAAAAGGCUUAAAUAGUUCAGAAAGACGAGAAGACCCUAUAGAGUUUAAUAUGUUAAGAAUAUAGAUUUUUUAGAUUUUUUUAAUUUAUGUUUACGGUUCGUAUUUUGUUGGGGCGACAUUAAGAUAAGAGUAACUCUUGAUAUUAAAAACUUCAAUAGAAGUUUAUUUGAUCCUUUAAAAAAGAUUACAAGGAAAAAUUACCUUAGGGAUAACAGCGUAAUCUUUUUUGAGAGUUCUAAUCGACAAAAAGGUUUGCGACCUCGAUGUUGGACUAAAAUUUAGGCAAGGUGCAGCAGUUUUGCUUUAGGGUCUGUUCGACCCUUAAAAUUUUACGUGAUCUG
rnacentral:rRNA from 1 species